UACGAAGGGGGCUAGCGUUGUUCGGAAUUACUGGGCGUAAAGCGUGCGCAGGCGGCUUCUCAAGUCAGGGGUGAAAGCCCAGAGCUCAACUCUGGAAUUGCCUUUGAGACUGAGUGGCUUGAGUACGGGAGAGGUGAGUGGAAUUCCCAGUGUAGAGGUGAAAUUCGUAGAUAUUGGGAAGAACACCGGUGGCGAAGGCGGCUCACUGGCACGUAACUGACGCUCAUGCACGACAGCGUGGGGAUCAAACAGG
rnacentral:rRNA from 1 species